rnacentral:rRNA from 1 species
UGGGGAAUAUUGGACAAUGGGCGAAAGCCUGAUCCAGCGACGCCGCGUGAGUGAUGAAGGCCUUAGGGUUGUAAAGCUCUUUUAGUGGAGAAGAUAAUGACGGUAUCCACAGAAAAAGCCCCGGCUAACUUCGUGCCAGCAGCCGCGGUAAUACGAAGGGGGCUAGCGUUACUCGGAAUUAUUGGGCGUAAAGCGUGCGUAGGCGGUUACAUAAGUUGGGAGUGAAAGCCCAAGGCUCAACCUUGGAAUUGCUUUCAAAACUAUGUAACUUGAGUAUUGGAGAGGAUAGUGGAAUUCCUAGUGUAGAGGUGAAAUUCGUAGAUAUUAGGAGGAACACCAGAUGCGAAAGCGGCUAUCUGGCCAAAUACUGACGCUGUUGCACGAAAGCGUGGGGAGCAAA